UGCGGAGGGAUCAUUACCGAGUUUACAAACUCCCMAACCCUUUGUGAACCUUACCUAUCGUUGCUUCGGCGGGACUUCGCCCCGGCGCCCUCACCGGCCCGGAACCAGGCGCCCGCCGGAGGCCACAAACUCUUUGUUUCCUAUGGUUUUCUCCUCUGAGUGGAAAUAAACAAAUAAAUAAAAACUUUCAACAACGGAUCUCUUGGUUCUGGCAUCGAUGAAGAACGCAGCGAAAUGCGAUAAGUAAUGUGAAUUGCAGAAUUCAGUGAAUCAUCGAAUCUUUGAACGCACAUUGCGCCCGCCAGCACUCUGGCGGGCAUGCCUGUUCGAGCGUCAUUUCAACCCUCAGGCCCCCAAAGCGCCUGGCGUUGGGGAUCGGAAGCCGCCGCGGGAGAGACCUCUGGGUCCCCCCCCGCGGCGAUCCGGCCCCGAAAUCUAGUGGCGGUCUCGCUGUAGUCCUCCUCUGCGUAGUAGCACAACCUCGCACUGGAACGCGGCGCGGCCAUGCCGUAAAACACCCCACUUCUGAAAGUUGACCUCGGAUCAGGUAGGAAUACCCGCUGAACUUAAGCAUAUCAAUAAGGCGGGAGGAAA
rnacentral:rRNA from 1 species